UACAGAGGUCCCAAGCGUUGUUCGGAUUCACUGGGCGUAAAGGGUGCGUAGGCGGUCGGGUAAGUCUGACGUGAAAUCUUCAAGCUCAACUUGGAAACUGCGUCCGAUACUAUUCGGCUAGAGGAAUGGAGGGGAGACUGGAAUACUUGGUGUAGCAGUGAAAUGCGUAGAUAUCAGGAGGAACACCAAUUGCGAAGGCAGCUCGCUGGGACGUAACUGACGCUGAGACGCGAAAGCGUGGGGAGCAAACAGG
rnacentral:rRNA from 1 species